AUUGAACGCUGGCGGCAUGCCUUACACAUGCAAGUCGAACGGUAACAGGCCGCAAGGUGCUGACGAGUGGCGAACGGGUGAGUAACACAUCGGAACGUGCCUGAUAGUGGGGGAUAACUACUCGAAAGAGUAGCUAAUACCGCAUAAGAUCUCAGGAUGAAAGCAGGGGACCGCAAGGCCUUGCGCUAACAGAGUGGCCGAUGGCAGAUUAGGUAGUUGGUGGGAUAAAAGCUUACCAAGCCGACGAUCUGUAGCUGGUCUGAGAGGACGACCAGCCACACUGGGACUGAGACACGGCCCAGACUCCUACGGGAGGCAGCAGUGGGGAAUUUUGGACAAUGGGCGCAAGCCUGAUCCAGCAAUGCCGCGUGCAGGAUGAAGGCCUUCGGGUGUAACUAGCUUUGUACGGAACGAAAAGACUCUGGUUAAUACC
rnacentral:rRNA from 1 species